GCCCCCUCACCUAGCUCCCUCUAGGUUCUGAGAAGAUGGCGAAGGUCUCAGAGCUUUACGAUGUCACUUGGGAAGAAAUGCGAGAUAAAAUGAGAAAAUGGAGAGAUGAAAACUCAAGAAAUAGUGAGCAAAUUGUGGAAGUUGGAGAGGAAUUAAUUAAUGAAUAUGCUUCUAAGCUUGGAGAUGAUAUUUGGAUCAUAUAUGAACAGGUGAUGAUUGCAGCCCUAGACUAUGGUCGGGAUGACUUGGCAUUGUUUUGUCUUCAGGAGUUGAGAAGACAGUUCCCUGGCAGUCACAGAGUCAAGCGACUAACUGGCAUGAGAUUUGAAGCCAUGGAAAGGCCGCAAGAAAGCGUAAGAUUGCCAUUCGAAAAGCCCAGGGAAAAAAUGUGGAGGCCAUUCGGGAACUGAAUGAAUAUCUGGAACAAUUUGUUGGAGACCAAGAAGCCUGGCAUGAACUUGCAGAACUUUAUAUCAAUGAACAUGACUAUGGUAAAGCAGCCUUCUGUUUAGAGGAACUUAUGAUGACUAAUCCACACAACCACUUAUAUUGUCAGCAGUAUGCUGAAGUUAAAUAUACCCAAGGUGGACUUGAAAACCUUGAACUUUCAAGAAAGUAUUUUGCACAGGCAUUGAAACUGAACAACAGAAAUAUGAGAGCUUUGUUUGGACUUUACAUGUCGGCAAGUCAUAUUGCUUCUAAUCCAAAAGCAAGUGCGAAAACAAAAAAGGACAACAUGAAAUAUGCUAGUUGGGCAGCCAGUCAAAUAAACAGAGCUUAUCAGUUUGCAGGUCGAAGUAAGAAGGAAACCAAAUACUCUCUUAAGGCAGUCGAAGACAUGUUGGAAACACUGCAGAUUACCCAGUCUUAAGGUUUAAAAACUCUUUCACAUUACAUUUCACAACUGCGCAAUUCAGCUUACUGGCUUGUGACUUAAUUUACUAAAUGCCCAGUGCUAUUUAUAUACAAAUUUUCUGCUAAGGCAGUUGUAAAGAAUAUGUCUAUAUAAAUCUAAAAAUGCCUUUUGCUAAGCAGAAAGAUUGGGAACGUGCACAGAAGAAGGAUUUAAGAAGAGUCUUAUUGGUUGUACAUCAUUCUCUUUAAUAUCACACUGCUUUUAAACCAUAAUCUGAUAUAAAAAUAAACUUGUUAAAUAAACCAUGAUGAUUUAUUAAACUUGCAUGUGGAGAAUACAGAAUCUUUUUAUUAUACUUAUAGUGAAGAUACUGUUUUAGAACUCAAUUCCUGGUUAACUUCUUUUUAUCUCUGAUAGGAAAUACAUGGCAUAUAUACUGACAACAAAACACUGGCAAAUUAUUUUGACUCUCUGUUAGUAUCUGGUUGGAUUUUGCUCUGUGUUUCAGUAGGCCAUUGUUUUAUGUACUAUAAUGAUAAUUCUGCUAAAUCAUGCUGUAAUAUGUCAUUUUCCAAAAUUCAGCAGUAUCUCUUUAUAAAAUGUUGUUUUGCUAUAGAACAUAAUUAGAUUUUUACCUAUAAAAUGCUUUAAGGUUUGUAUAUGCUAUAAAACUCAAAGUUUAACCUUUAUGAAAAUUAUAUUUAUUGAACCUUUAACUGUAAAUUACAUAAAAGAAUAUUCAGAGAUCUAGAGAAUAGGAAUUAAAGGGGUUUCAAUGACUGAGUUAUUUUUACUUUAGGGAAAAAUAAAAAAUUUUACACUC